CCUUAAGACUCACCACCGGCGAUCUUCGAGCUUAAUUUCUUCUCUUUUCUCCAUUGAAGCCGCGGCCUCCCGUUAUUGUGUUCAUCGAAAAUCAAAGAUCGGAGAUGCCACCAGAGCUUAGGUAAGGCUCUGACCUUUCUUCCACUCCCUCUUUCCAUUCUCCUCUAGCCCUAAACCUUAUUACCGACCAUCGAUUUUGCUGAAAAUCGAGAGGAAAAGGGAUGCUCUAUUU
rnacentral:lncRNA from 1 species